rnacentral:rRNA from 1 species
AAAAGGCCCACCUAGGCGACGAUCCGUAGCGGGUCUGAGAGGAUGAUCCGCCACACUGGGACUGAGACACGGCCCAGACUCCUACGGGAGGCAGCAGUGGGGAAUUUUGGACAAUGGGCGCAAGCCUGAUCCAGCCAUGCCGCGUGAGUGAAGAAGGCCUUCGGGUUGUAAAGCUCUUUCGGCCGGGAAGAAAUCGUGGUCUCUAAACAUAGGCCAUGGAUGACGGUACCGGACUAAGAAGCACCGGCUAACUACGUGCCAGCAGCCGCGGUAAUACGUAGGGUGCGAGCGUUAAUCGGAAUUACUGGGCGUAAAGCGUGCGCAGGCGGUUUGCUAAGACAGGUGUGAAAUCCCCGGGCUUAACCUGGGAACUGCGCUUGUGACUGGCAGGCUAGAGUACGGCAGAGGGGGGUGGAAUUCCUGGUGUAGCAGUGAAAUGCGUAGAGAUCAGGAGGAACACCGAUGGCGAAGGCAGCCCCCUGGGCUUGUACUGACGCUCAUGCACGAAAGCGUGGGGAGC